AAGGCGCNUGAGAGAACUCGGGUGAAGGAAACUAGGCAAAAUGGUGCGUAACUUCGGGAGACGGCACGCUGAUAUGUAGGUGAAGUCCCUUGCGGAUGGAGCUGAAAUCAGUCGAAGA
rnacentral:rRNA from 1 species